UACGUAGGGUGCAAGCGUUAAUCGGAAUUACUGGGCGUAAAGCGUGCGCAGGCGGUUUUGUAAGCCAGAUGUGAAAUCCCCGGGCUCAACCUGGGAACUGCAUUUGGGACUGCAAGGCUAGAGUACGGCAGAGGGGGGUAGAAUUCCUGGUGUAGCAGUGAAAUGCGUAGAUAUCAGGAGGAAUACCGAUGGCGAAGGCAGCCCCCUGGGUCGAUACUGACGCUCAUGCACGAAAGCGUGGGGAGCAAACAGG
rnacentral:rRNA from 1 species